AGCUCUGGAAGUUUGGGGAAGCCUUGAAGCUCUUGCCAGAGAGAAAAAAUUGCGUAAAGAAGCAGAGAUAGAAUACAGAGAACGGCUGUUUAGAAACCAAAGAAUACUAAGAGAAUAUGGUGAUUUCUUGGGAAACACAAAGCCACGCUCCAGAGCGAUCUCAGUGUUCCUUAAGGGACCAGGAAAGGUGGUGAUGGUCGCUAUUUGCAUUAAUGGCUUAAACUGCUUCUUUAAAUUUCUUGCCUGGAUUUAUACGGGUUCAGCAAGUAUGUUCUCAGAAGCUAUACAUUCAUUAUCUGAUACUUGUAACCAGGGUUUGCUAGCACUGGGCAUCAGCAAGUCUGUUCAAACACCAGAUCCUUCUCACCCGUAUGGCUUUUCAAAUAUGCGCUAUAUUUCUUCAUUGAUUAGUGGUGUUGGUAUUUUCAUGAUGGGCGCAGGACUCUCUUGGUAUCAUGGAAUCAUGGGAUUGCUUCAUCCUCAACCAAUGGAAUCCCUUCUAUGGGUGAUCCUCCUUUCCCCCACUC
rnacentral:lncRNA from 1 species